UCCCAUGCAACUUGCCAUGGUUGCAAUAUUUCCCUCCUAUUCUUUUGCCCUGUAAUAGUUAACCAUGUAGUAGUUUUACAGGACUCUUGUUUUUUUCAAUAAAUUCACGUGUGAGUCUCUUUCACAAGCCAACUUAAGACACUAGGUGCUGUGCAGACAGCACACUGGGGUUAUUAAGUACAACCCAGGGAAAUCCCCACCAUUUAUUGGAGAAGUCUAUGCGAGACACACAGCCACUUUUGUUGUUCAACACUGAGCAUUCUGUUCUCCCUACGAAAUCCAGUUCCCAACUACCUGUGAGUCAUUCUUUCUUGCAGGAAGAGCGCCAAACGUUUGAAAGGAAAAGCAAACAGCAUUCACUGCAAAACUGAACAUUGGAAAAGCAACCAGGUAGCCACUCAACAUUCACAUUACUGUCACAAGAUCUACAGAGACAAAUAGACAAGGAAGCAACAGUUAGUGGGGAAUUGUUCAUGGCAAACAGCAAUGCAGAAAGUUCAGUAGUACCCAACAAUGCAAUGAGCUAGAGAGAAAUUGUGCUUUCUGCUCUGAUGUUUGCUAAAUCACUCAAAUAUGCACAAGAGUCUUAUAAGAAUUGUCUUUGUCUUGUUGUGAUGUUCCUGUGAUGUUCAUCAGCUUUAAAACUGUUCAAUAAAAUGGUGCCUUGUGUUGGA